UACGGGGGGGGCAAGCGUUGUUCGGAAUUACUGGGCGUAAAGGGCGCGUAGGCGGCUCGCUAAGUCGGAUGUGAAAACUCUGGGCUCAACCCAGAGCCUGCAUUCGAAACUGACGAGCUGGAGUUCUGGAGGGGAAAGCGGAAUUCCUGGUGUAGCGGUAAAAUGCGUAGAUAUCAGGAGGAACACCGGUGGCGAAGGCGGCUUUCUGGGUCUUACCUGACGCUGAGGAACGAAAGCCAGGGGAGCGAACGGG
rnacentral:rRNA from 1 species